GCAGAACCCAGGUGAAUGCUUUCAGGAGGCGGCGGUGACAGUCAGGACGACGCUCCCGACGAGUCAACUUGAUUACAUUUGGGCGCAUCCAAGAGAAGAAAAAACAUGCAUGUCUUCUCCGAAGAAACUUGUAUGCGGAAUCAGAACUGGACCCUAAGAUCGACAAACUUUCCUACAACUGUCAAUGCGUAGGCUACAAUCAAAACAGUGGAGAAAAAUGAGUUGAUAUAUCGCUCAAACAAUGGAAGACAAGCAGAGCACUUGUCUGCAUUAGGCCCAAGAGGAGCAUUUCUACAGGCCACCAUGCAUUAAUGAAGCCAUCUU
ensembl:lncRNA